UACGAAGGGGGCUAGCGUUGUUCGGAAUUACUGGGCGUAAAGGGCGCGUAGGCGGCUCGUCAAGUCAGGCGUGAAAGCCCCGGGCUUAACCUGGGAUGUGCGCUUGAGACUGGCGGGCUUGAGUUCGGGAGAGGAUGGUGGAAUUCCCAGUGUAGAGGUGAAAUUCGUAGAUAUUGGGAAGAACACCGGUGGCGAAGGCGGCCAUCUGGACCGACACUGACGCUGAGGCGCGAAAGCGUGGGGAGCAAAC
rnacentral:rRNA from 1 species